rnacentral:sRNA from 1 species
CUGACUGCUCUGUUUUCCGACAGUGCCCAAGUAUCUGCCCGCCAGGUCCCCCAGGGCCCCCUGGAAUGCCAGGGUUCAAGGGACCCACUGGCUACAAAGGCGAGCAGGGGGAAGUCGGCAAGGAUGGCGAGAAGGCCAGGGGACCAGGUCUGGGAUGCCCUUUAGCAUGGCUGGAGUGAUCAGAUGAGGAGACCCCAGGUGCACAUCAGAGGGGUCCCUGCUUGGCCACGAGGAGGGGCCUGGACAGGGCUGAAGGGCCUUGUGGGAACAGUGACCACGGACCCAGGCCCAGCAGGGCGAGGCCACCGAGACUCGCUGCUCUGGAACUGUGGGGUGACCCUGGCCCCCCUGGGCCCGCCGGCCUCCCGGGCAGCGUGGGGCUGCAGGGUCCCCGGGGAUUACGAGGACUGCCAGGGCCACUCGGGCCCCCUGGGGACCGGGGUCCCAUCGGGUUCCGAGGGCCGCCUGGGAUCCCAGGAGCGCCUGGGAAAGCGGGUGACCGAGGCGAGAGGGGCCCAGAAGGGUUCCGCGGCCCCAAGGGUGACCUUGGCAGACCUGGUCCCAAGGGAACCCCCGGAGUGGCGGGGCCAAGCGGAGAGCCGGGCAUGCCGGGCAAGGACGGCCAGAAUGGCGUGCCAGGACUCGAUGGCCAGAAGGGAGAGGCUGGUCGCAACGGUGCUCCGGGAGAGAAGGGCCCCAACGGGCUGCCGGGCCUCCCCGGACGAGCGGGGUCCAAAGGCGAGAAGGGAGAACGG